UACGGAGGGGGCUAGCGUUGUUCGGAAUUACUGGGCGUAAAGCGCACGUAGGCGGCUUUGUAAGUUAGAGGUGAAAGCCCAGGGCUUAACCCUGGAAUUGCCUUUAAGACUGCAUCGCUCGAAUUGUGGAGAGGUGAGUGGAAUUCCGAGUGUAGAGGUGAAAUUCGUAGAUAUUCGCAAGAACACCAGUGGCGAAGGCGGCUCACUGGCCCGAUACUGACGCUGAGGCACGAAAGCGUGGGGAGCAAACAGGG
rnacentral:rRNA from 1 species